CCAAAGCAACCCUCCCUUCUGGAGAGAAAGAUGCAGAGUUCUGGUACUGCUUUAAGAUUCAGAAUGCAGACUAUAUUUCCCAGGCAUGGAGGUAGAGUGGAUCAAGAAAAACAAGAGCCCUCUGUGUCUCAUCAUUCUAUCAUCCUCCUUCAGGCUGAAAAACAUGUUUUGAGGGUGUUUGGAGAUCUAACAAUUCUCAUCUCCCUGUUUUUUCAUGUGUAGCUGCAGAAAAUCCCUGGACAACUGUCACGGACUAGAAAAUUUGUGCCCCAUUCAGAGAAGGCAUGGGUUGCUGCUCCAUCACUGAGCAUGCUGCUGCAUCUGCGCCUGGGCCACCCCAAGGCUCCCCGAUCUGGGGCAAGGCACUGGGGCAAGGUAGGAGCCACAGGCAGAUGGUCAACAGCAUUGUAUGGCAGGCGAGAAGGUUGGAGACCUAAAGAAGAAUGAAAUUUGUGCUUCCAGCACCUUCACGUUGCCGGAGUCUCGGUGGAAAUCUGCUAGUCUGUGUCAACAGCAUAGCUUCACUUCAUCCAGGAAGUUACAGUGAGAACUCCUCAUUUCCAAAAUGGUGCAAGGAGGGAGUUGGAGAGGGCAAUGAAGACAAAAGUCACAGGAUGCUGAAAAAUCUAAGACACUUCAGUGGUUGAAAAGAAUUUGAUGAAUAUUUUGAUAGGUGUGUAUUUACAAAUUAUCCGUGUCAGAUGCACUAUCACAUCUUUAAAAAUGGAUCCGAACAUGGUUGACAGUGG
rnacentral:lncRNA from 1 species